rnacentral:rRNA from 1 species
UACGUAGGGUGCAAGCGUUGUCCGGAAUUAUUGGGCGUAAAGAGCUCGUAGGCGGUCUGUCGCGUCGAAUAUGAAAAUCCGGGGCUCAACUCCGGACCUGCAUUCGAUACGGGCAGACUAGAGUUCGGUAGGGGAGACUGGAAUUCCUGGUGUAGCGGUGAAAUGCGCAGAUAUCAGGAGGAACACCGGUGGCGAAGGCGGGUCUCUGGGCCGAUACUGACGCUGAGGAGCGAAAGCGUGGGGAGCGAACAGG